UUAACAAUGAUUGAAUUUAGAUGGUGGGCAUAUGGGAAUUUAUCAUCCUAUUAAACAGUUUUCUGUACUUCUGAGACUUAGAAUAAAACAUUGGAAGGAACCUGUUAGACAUAAUGCUCUAUGUGAAGUAAUUUGUUCCCUUUGUGAAAUUCUAGGAAGGUUAAAUUGCAUGUUCAUAACAUCAAGAAAAUCACAAGCAUUUACGAUGUAAUCAGAACUACCUGAGGAUCUGUGAAACUUGGUGAGUUGGUGGAUUUUUUAAAAUGUCUUAAAACAUUUUGUUUUUACAAAGAUUACAGGAGUAAGAGAAGAUAAAUUUUAAUCAACUCUUAAUAUUUUUUUCCUGGUUGAUGUGAUAUAAUUAAAUGUGGGGAAAAAAAGGUAAAUUCUAAAAGGAGACACUACCUUGAUGGUUUUCUAUGGAGGAAACUCAAGCAGGAGGAAGUUUAAUUUAAAAACAUAAAUUACUGCUCUUUAUAAUACAUUCUAAGUUGUCAUUCUUUUGAAUGCCUUCCUUUCCAAACAGGUGUGUUAUUCUGGGAGAUCAUCAGGACUUCUGGGUAUUUGGAGGUACUGACCUAACCAGUGGAACUGCUGAUUUAUAAGAAGUUGUCCAGAAUUUUGGAAAACUGAUUAGUAGAGGCUGGAGACCGAGAAGAACUACCAUUUUUGCCAGCUGGGAUGCAGAAAAAUUUGGACUUCUGGGUUCCACAAAUGGGCUGAGCUCUGUCAUAAUGGAAACUCUGCAGCAGAAUCAGCUGUCAUCUAUCCCGUGUGGCCAAGUGCAGAGGUGAGAAUUCUCAUUUGUGGGAUGACCACUCACAGCUUUAAAUGUUUUUACUGUAACUGCUCUUAUAAGGUAGCAAGCUAGAGAGAGAGAGAGAGAGAAACAGAGAGAAGAAAAGAGUUCUCUCUGCAUAUUCCCAUGUGUGUGAUGGCAUUAGUCUUCUUCUGCUGUAUUUUUCUAGAAUGUGUGUGCGUGUGUGCAUGUAUGUGUGAGAGAGAAAUGUCUUGUCUUUGUCCUAAUAGCCACUCUUCUCUCCCUCUAGUUUUUUCUCUAUCCUCCCCUCCUUUCUUUUUCUUUUUCAUCAAUACCUUCUCUUUCAAAAAAUUCUUGAUAAAUCAAAUUUCCAACUUCCUCACUUUUAAUAUGGUAAAGUUACUUGGAUCCCCAAUGUCAAGGGAUCUCAUACUUUAAUGUCUGUAAGGAUUGCCAGGGACACCUUUUAAAAGUACAGAUUUCCAGGCCUUACUUUGAGCAGUUCUCUUCCAGUAGAUCCAGGGUGAGGCUGAGCAUCU